GCAGCCUGAUGCAGCGACGCCGCGUGAGGGAUGACGGCCUUCGGGUUGUAAACCUCUUUCAGCAGGGACGAAGCGCAAGUGACGGUACCUGUAGAAGAAGGACCGGCCAACUACGUGCCAGCAGCCGCGGUAAUACGUAGGGUCCGAGCGUUGUCCGGAAUUACUGGGCGUAAAGAGCUCGUAGGUGGUUUGUCGCGUUGUUCGUGAAAACUCACAGCUUAACUGUGGGCGUGCGGGCGAUACGGGCAGACUUGAGUACUGCAGGGGAGACUGGAAUUCCUGGUGUAGCGGUGGAAUGCGCAGAUAUCAGGAGGAACACCGGUGGCGAAGGCGGGUCUCUGGGCAGUAACUGACGCUGAGGAGCGAAAGCGUGGGGAGCGAACAGGAUUAGAUACCCUGGUAGUCCACGCCGUAAACGGUGGGUACUAGGUGUGGGUUUCCUUCCUUGGGAUCCGUGCCGUAGCUAACGCAUUAAGUACCCCGCCUGGGGAGUACGGCCGCAAGGCUAAAACUCAAAGAAAUUGACGGGGGCCCGCACAAGCGGCGGAGCAUGUGGAUUAAUUCGAUGCAACGCGAAGAACCUUACCUGGGUUUGACAUGCACAGGACGUGCCUAGAGAUAGGUAUUCCCUUGUGGCC
rnacentral:rRNA from 1 species